GUUAACGUUUUUUUCUGUUGGCGCAUGCAUUUAGAUUGGAGUGUUCUCAUUACAAUCGUUUUUUUUUUUUUUUUUUUUUUUUUUUACCGUGGACGGAAAACGUUCGUAAUGGGAACUUUCCAAUCUAAAUGCAUGCGCCAACAGAAAAAAAACGUUAAC
rnacentral:miRNA from 1 species